ensembl:lincRNA
UCCUCUCAUGUUACAUAAUUUCUUUUUUUUCCAAUUCUAUUUAUUUUCAGCUGGAAAAAAAUGAAUCUGGGAAAGACGAUGAGAACAAGAUUUCAGAAAGCUGUGAGAAAAUAACCAUGAUAUCAUCAUGCCUUUUCUGGAUUAAGGAGGCAUAAAUUGCUGUGUGACCCUAUUUUCCGGUAGAUGGGGAAUUUAACAAUCAGAUGACAUUUAAUAGCAAAUGGAUACUUGCUAUUGUCUCAACAAAGCACCAGGUGGAAUGAAGUGCUUCAGUGAAGAAACUGCAUGGCGAGAAAAGGGGAGAUCAAUAAGAGAAAUGCCUGGUAGCAUCUGA